UACAGAGGGUGUACAGCGUUGUUCGGAAUUACUGGGCGUAAAGCGCGUGUAGGCGGUCCGGUAAGUCCGCUGUGAAAGUCGGGGGCUUAACCCUCGGAUGCCGGUGGAUACUGUCGGGCUUGAGUACGGAAGAGGCGAGUGGAAUUCCUGGUGUAGCGGUGAAAUGCGCAGAUAUCAGGAGGAACACCAAUUGCGAAGGCAGCUCGCUGGGACGUUACUGACGCUGAGACGCGAAAGCGUGGGGAGCAAACAGG
rnacentral:rRNA from 1 species